GAAGCCUGGUGGGAAGUCGGAGACUGGCGAGCCCUCCUCGGCCUGUGUUCCUGCCGGACUCGGCGCCGGUUACUGCUCGCAGGCCGGAGGCUGCCUGAGCGGGAAGCCGAGCGCGGGCCCGGAGCUAACGCGACGUCAGACCUACAUUGUCAGUUUCCUCCUGGGUAUCUCCACCUGGACAGUCUAUACAUAUUUCAAGUGGGGAUCCCUGGGUGGCGCAGCGGUUUGGCGCCUGCCUUUGGCCCAGGGCGUGAUCCUGGUGACUCGGGAUCGAAUCCCACGUCGGUCUCCCGGUGCAUGGAGCCUGCUUCUCCCUCUGCCUAUGUCUCUGCCUCUCUCUCUCUGUGUGUGACUAUCAUAAAUAAAUAAAAAUUUAAAAAAAAAAAUCUUUCAAUGACUUCCCAUAAUUUAUAAACUAAAAGCAAAUUCACAAGCAUAUAUGGCCUUAAUGAUCUGCCUCUCCCUUAUCACCACCACCUGAAGCCAUUAACUUUCAGCCUCUCUCUCUCCCCCCUGAUUUUAAUGAACCACUUAUUUCCAAAACAGGGCAUGCUCUUUUAGUUCUCUUUGCACAAGCUACUUACUCAGCAAUGGCAUGCUCUUUCCCAUUUUGUCCUCCUUUUGAAAAUAUAAGGGAAGGGAGAAGAAAUGUGUGGGAAAUAUCAGAAAGGGACACAGAACAUAAAGACUCCUAACUCUG